ACUGCUCAGUAACACGUGGCUAACCUGCCCUUGGGACAGAGACACCCCCGGGAAACUGGGGCUAAUCCCUGAUAGGUGAAGAACUCUGGAAUGAGUCUUCACCCAAAAGACGCCUAGGCCACGCUUCUAGGCGCCGCCCAAGGAUGGGGCCGCGACCGAUCAGGUUGUUGGUGAGGUAACGGCCUACCAAGCCUUUUACCGGUACGGGCCGUGAGAGCGGGAGCCCGGAGAUGGGCACUGAGACAAGGGCCCAGGUCCUACGGGGCGCAGCAGUCGCGCAAACUUUGCAAUACACGAAAGUGUGACAGGGCUAUCCCGAGUGCCGUCCGCUGAGGGUGGCUUUUACCCAGUCUAGAAAGCUGGGAGAAUAAGGAGAGGGCAAGUCUGGUGUCAGCCGCCGCGGUAAUACCAGCUCUCCGAGUGGUGUGGAUGUUUAUUGGGCCUAAAGCAUCCGUAGCUUGCUGAUCAAGUCCCCUGUUAAACCCAACGAAUCAAUCGUUGGAUUGCGGGGGAUACUGCUCGGCUAGGGGACGGGAGAGGCCGACGGUAUUUUCGGGGUAGGGGUGAAAUCCUAUAAUCCCGAGAGGACCACCAGUGGCGAAGGCUGUCGGCUAGAACGCGCCCAACGGUGAGGGAUGAAAGCUGGGGGAGCGAACCGGAUUAGAUACCCGGGUAGUCCCAGCUGUAAACGAUGCAGCUAGGUGUUUGGGCGGCCACGCGCCGCUCUAGUGCCGCAGGAAGCUGUUAAGCCUGCCGCCUGGGGAGUACGGCCGCAAGGCUGAAACUUAAAGGAAUUGGCGGGGGAGCAC
rnacentral:rRNA from 1 species